rnacentral:rRNA from 1 species
AACGAACGCUGGCGGCAGGCUUAACACAUGCAAGUCGAACGCUCGUAGCAAUACGGGAGUGGCGGACGGGUGAGUAACGCGUGGGAACGUGCCCUGAGGUACGGAAUAACUGAGGGAAACUUCAGCUAAUACCGUAUGAGCCCCGAGAGGGGGAAAGAUUUAUCGCCUUGGGAGCGGCCCGCGUCGGAUUAGCUAGUUGGUGGGGUAACGGCCUACCAAGGCUUCGAUCCGUAGCUGGUCUGAGAGGACGAUCAGCCACACUGGGACUGAGACACGGCCCAGACUCCUACGGGAGGCAGCAGUGGGGAAUCUUGCGCAAUGGGGGCAACCCUGACGCAGCCAUGCCGCGUGAACGAUGAAGGCCUUAGGGUUGUAAAGUUCUUUUACCCGUGACGAUGAUGACGGUAACGGGGGAAUAAGCUCCGGCUAACUUCGUGCCAGCAGCCGCGGUAAU